rnacentral:rRNA from 1 species
CCUACGGGAGGCAGCAGUGGGGAAUUUUGGACAAUGGGCGAAAGCCUGAUCCAGCCAUUCCGCGUGCAGGAUGAAGGCCCUCGGGUUGUAAACUGCUUUUGUACAGAACGAAAAGGCUUCUAUUAAUACUAGGAGCUCAUGACGGUACUGUAAGAAUAAGCACCGGCUAACUACGUGCCAGCAGCCGCGGUAAUACGUAGGGUGCAAGCGUUAAUCGGAAUUACUGGGCGUAAAGCGUGCGCAGGCGGUUAUAUAAGUCAGAUGUGAAAUCCCGCGGUCACACGAGACU